rnacentral:rRNA from 1 species
AGAUUGAACGCUGGCGGCAUGCCUAACACAUGCAAGUCGAACGGGAGUAGCAAUACUCUAGUGGCGGACGGGUGAGGAAUACGUAGGAAUUUGCCCUUAAGUGGGGGAUAACCCGGGGAAACCCGGAUUAAUACCGCAUGACCUCGAAAGAGCAAAGUGGGGGAUCGCAAGACCUCACGCUUUUGGAGAAGCCUACGUCGGAUUAGCUAGUUGGUGAGGUAAUGGCUCACCAAGGCGACGAUCCGUAACUGGUCUGAGGAGAUAGAUACAGUACAACCGACCGGUAACUGACGACGACCGGUCCGGACCUCCGUACGGGAGGCAGC